rnacentral:rRNA from 1 species
CAUGGUGGAACUAUUAAAGAAUUUCGGUCAUCGAUGGGGAUGCGUUCCAUUAGGUUGUUGGCGGGGUAACGGCCCACCAAGCCUUCGAUGGAUAGGGGUUCUGAGAGGAAGGUCCCCCACAUUGGAACUGAGACACGGUCCAAACUCCUACGGGAGGCAGCAGUGAGGAAUAUUGGUCAAUGGACGAGAGUCUGAACCAGCCAAGUAGCGUGAAGGAUGACUGCCCUAUGGGUUGUAAACUUCUUUUAUACGGGAAUAAAGUGAGGCACGUGUGCCUUUUUGUAUGUACCGUAUGAAUAAGGAUCGGCUAACUCCGUGCCAGCAGCCGCGGUAAUACGGAGGAUCCGAGCGUUAUCCGGAUUUAUUGGGUUUAAAGGGAGCGUAGGCGGACGCUUAAGUCAGUUGUGAAAGUUUGCGGCUCAACCGUAAAAUUGCAGUUGAUACUGGGUGUCUUGAGUACAGUAGAGGCAGGCGGAAUUCGUGGUGUAGCGGUGAAAUGCUUAGAUAUCACGAAGAACUCCGAUUGCGAAGGCAGCUUGCUGGACUGUAACUGACGCUGAUGCUCGAAAGUGUGGGUAUCAAACAGGAUUAGAUACCCUGGUAGUCCACACAGUAAACGAUGAAUACUCGCUGUUUGCGAUAUACAGUAAGCGGCCAAG